CGAUUCAUUUCCUUUCCCCCCCGACAACCCCUCUUUGCUCGAUCCCUCCUUCCCGACGCCAACGCCGCGUCGAUCGUCGCGAGCUCACCGGCGGCGGCGGUCUUCUCCAGCGUGCCUCCGUCGACUCUCCAGCCUCCCUUCCUCUAGUGGUAUGGAGCGGUUGAGCAACGGUCGACCGCCGAACCAGAGCUUUUCUGCCUCUUUCUCGCGAAUGGCGUUCCGAUCGUCGACGCCGAGCCUUACUCCUCCCUCUUCCUCGCGUGCUGCUGCGAUUUGUCGACCCCCGAGACGCUGGAGCCAAGCCACCCUUCCUCUAGUGUCAUCGUCGUCGCACGGGUUCCGAUUUCAUCUUCUCUUCACCGGAUCUUGGACUAGGAGGGGUUCAGCAGCGGCUCGUCUCCCUUCACCGGAGUAUAGCCUACCUGUCUUGAAGCUGUGCCCUAGUUGCAUUUCAUUGCUGGUACACCCCAGGAGUUCUUCCUCUUUGGAUGUCAGCCCCAAUUGUCUUUGAUUGGUCGCGAUCAAGUUAAUGUCGGAGGGUUUUCAAGCAUCCAACAGCGGCGUUGUUCCUUCGUCAAGGUGAGCAGAACGGGGACAAUUCCACCAGGGAGGUUCAUCACCUUCUCUUUAUUAGGAUUGCAGCACCCUUUUCAUCUCCGGACAGAUCCGGUUACCUUCUGUGGUAGCUACCUUGUCUUCUUGGAGGUGUUUGACGAAAUGUUUGGAGCCCUUUGUCUCCUCUGUUUGCAUUGGAAACUCCAUUGGUGACCACCUAUUGUGGAGAGUAGCUGCUGGAACAAUGGGCAUCCAUUGUAAGGAACUAUGAGGACUUGGAUUCGGGACGAGCGUCUCGACGUGGGAUUUCCGGGCACGAUCUACGUAUUAAGG